CUGCUUCACAGUGCUUUACAGUCUUCUGUAAACAGUUUACAGAGUCAGCAUAUUGCCCCCCCCCCAAUAAUCUGGGUCCUCAUUUUACCGACUUCAGAAGGAUGGAAGGCUGAAUCGACCUUGAGCCUGGCGACAUUCGAACUGCCAAACUGCUGGCAAUCGGCAGUCAGCAGAAUUAGCCUGCAAUACUGCAUUCUAAUCACUGCACCACCACAGCUCUUAAUAAAUAAAUAUAAGGUAAAUGACGGUUGCAGUGUCCUGGGGUGAUGUGAUCACCUUUCGCGACCUUCUGACAAGCAAAAUGAAUGGGGAAGCCAGAUUCACUUAACGACCGUGUUACUAAUUUAACAAAUGCAAUGAUUCACUUAACAAUUGCGGCAAGAAAAACGGGCAAAAGUCACUUAACAACUAUUUCACUUGGCAACAGAAAUGUUAGGUUCAAUUGUGAUUAUAAAUCGAGAAUUACCUACACUUAGUGUUUAAUAAAACGGAUUAAAAAUAUUUUCAUUUUAAUAUGUGCCCUAGCAACAGAAAUUUUGGGCUCAAUUGUGGUCGUAAGGUGAGAAUUACCUAUACUUACUGUUCAAUAAAACUGAUUGAAAAUACUUUGAUUUUAAUAUGUGCCCUGGUGUUUAUGUAAAUAUGUGUUUGAUGCUUGGAUUGCAUCAAAAACAAUGAAAUCAUUAUACAUAUUAAAAAGAAUGCACCCAUUAUACCCUUGGUGUAAUGGCUAAGGCAUCAGGCGACUAUGAGUUCUAAUUCUGCCUUGGACAUGAAGCCAGUUGAGUGACCUUGAGCCAAUCACUCUCUUCUGGGAAAUUAUCACAAGCCAACACUGACUUGAAAGCACAAAAAUAAAAACAUCAACAAUGCAACAGAUGAACUGAAAAGAUUUGUCUAAAAUAGUUUAAUUCCACAAUAUCAAAAUAUUAAAAUGUUAAUCCUUUAAAAUACAACUUGUAAUUAAUUAAUUAAGUUACAAUUCUGGCGGCACAAAAUAAAAUCUUUUUUUAAAAAAAAUAUAGAAAGUAUACCUAUCACUUUGGUGUGAAGAAGAUGUCCAGGAUUCUUAAUUUUUUUUCUUAAAAUAGGGAUAUGCAAUUUAGAAUGCAAAUAUAUAUUUACUGAAAAAACCAUGGAUCAAAAAUGAAUGCUGUUUGUAGGAUGGAAAAGAUGAACGAUGAGCUUUAAUUCCUUAAACGUGAUUUGAGUCCCAUGUUUCUGCUUCUGCUUCUGCUUCUGUUCCGCUCUUUAAACAGUCUUAAUUUUCUAGUGCAGAACGUGAUUCCUUACCAAUUGAUAAAAGAAAUACUUAGACCAUUUAUACAAUGCAUCCCAUUUACUUCAAGGGUAUAAGAGCUCCUUCAGAGCCAUAUGUCAUGUAAAUAAGUGUUUCAAACAUUUUUUUAACAUGCAUAUUAUGCACUCUAUAGAUCAAUAGCUCUUUUGAAGCUUUGGCACUUUAUCUUGUAAGGUCUCAUUUAGACUUUAAAAAGAUGUAUUAUUUAUUCAAUAGGCUAUCACUCCUUUCAGGGAUUUUUCAUUCUAUCAUCUAAAUAACUAUUUAGCCCAUUUAAAGAUAAAUAUCUCUUCAGUUUAGAAGAGUUCUUCUGGAAAAUUAAUAUUAAUCAGGAAGAACAUCCCAAACUCAGCUUGCGGCAUAAGCUAAUGUGGUUUGUUAUAGAAUUUAUUUUUUUAUUUUCAUAUUUUUUUGCUUAACAGUCCCAUCCAUCUGCUGUCCCCAUCCCUCCCACCCCAGUUUUUCCCUGCACAACUGAUUUGGCUUGGUAAUCAAAUUAUUAGGCUAAACUGGAAACAGCACCUCAAAAUAUUCUGAUAUAAUAAACGCACAAGGAAAAAUGCAGAAAACCCAUUUCUAUGUUCUAGAUUUCACAUGACCCAAUACCUAUGCAAGUAACAUUUCCCUGUGGAAAAUUGAAGGACUUCUAGUGAAAGGAUGGAAAGAGAACAUAUUCUGGAUCUAGCUGUACUGGUUAGAGAGUGUUGUAAACUGGGGAGGGGUGGUCUCAAAAUGAAGACACUGAUGGAAAAAAACCCUUAACCUGUGCCCUUAAAAAUACCUUACUGUGCAAAAAGGUUCAAACUAUAAGGAUGGAGGCAAUUCCUGCUCAGUGCUGAUAACCAAGGAAUCAGAUUGCCUAUACCAUCAGCAAAGAUCAGAUAAUCCACUACUAGGCUGUGGCCUAUUUGGAACCAGGCCAUGUGAGAGGCGGGCACAACUCAACUCACCCAAGCAGUGGGCCAGGGUGCACACACACACAUGUGUCUUCAGCCCAGGGGUGCACACACACACAUGUGUCUUCAGCCCAGGGGUGAAAUCCAGCAGCUUCUAGCAGGUUCUGGAGAAGCAGUAAUGGAAAUUUUGGCAGUUCGGAGAACCAAUAGCGGAAAUUUUGAGUAGUUCGGCAAACUAGCAAAUACCACCUCUGGCUGGCCCCAGAGUGGGGUGGGCAUGGAGAUUUUGUAAUAUCCUUCCCCCCAAGAGAGGGGAGGGAAUGGGGAUUUUGCAGUAUCCUUCCCCUGCCACACCCCACCCACCAAGCCACACCCACAGAACCAGUAGUAAAAAUACUUGGAUUUCACCACCGCUUCAGCCCAAAUUGCAGUCAAGCUGCAUGUGCAUGCCUGUGCGCGUCGGCCGCCCCUCAUGCAAGUUGAGUUGUGCAGAUGUGCAUGCCUGUUCCCCUCUUCCCCCACCCCAGCUGGGUCACCAAGUCACAAAGGUUGGGGACCGCUGUUCUAGGGGAUAGUAAUAUCUCAGCUAGCUUUCUAAACUUUUGAGUCUCUUCAAACAGAGUAACUUAACUCAUGUGGAGACUAAUGUUCCUACCAGAUAAAUGACAGCACGUACACAACAGACAACUCUUAGGGACUUGCCAUCUUUGGGGAACCUUUAAUUCUCCCCUUAUAUCCCUUUUUCUAUCCUUUGUAUUUGCAGGGAAGUGAACAUUGCAGAAAGAUACCAAGAAUGCAUACAGGGCAGAAUAAUAGAUGGGAAAGUUCAUUAAAAAGCAGUCUAGCUGUCAGCCACGUAUCAUCUCAGCCGAGCUCAUCAACCUGUCAAUAAUGGUGGCUUUCUUACCAUUAUUGACAAGUAUCCACCUGAGAAAAAUCAUGCCAGAGAGACUUAUUUUCUAUGGACAAUCUAAUGGACAUCAGCUUGCUCAGAAGAAAUAAGUAUAUCUCCUGAUCAAAAUAUAAUUAUUCAACGAGCAGUUUCAAAACUUUACCUGCACCUGCAUUGAUGCACAGUAAUCACAGCUUAGUAUUUAUUUAAGAGGAGGGGGGAGGGAGGGAGAGAGAACACAUGCACGUAUUAGACAAGUUUCCUCUUCAACUACAGUAUUUAUUUAUUAUUAUUAUUAUUUAAAUUGUGUGCCUCCCAUCUCAUUAUCCAAAGUGACUUAUUAUCUAACUUUUUUUCUGCCUAUCAAUAGAGACAUCGAUAAUGCAAUAUUUGUUUCAGCAGUACUCCAGUCCUUCAAUGAAGUCUCUUCAAAAUUGGACAGAGGUCUAUAGUAAUCAGGAAGAGAUGGAAAGUGCCCUGGCUAUCAGAGAGUUGCUCUUUUGGCCAGAAAUCAAGAGUUUAACAUUUUCAGUCCAUCUGAUGACCACAUAGAGCGUAGUGAAUGUUUUGAUCCCCAUAAGAUAUCACUGUAAACGAGGGCUAACAGCUAAAAAAUUCCACCCACAUAUUGGAUCAAUUCUAAAUUGGAAUGGUUGGAAGUCCAGUUUGCUUUUUAUAAUGGAAUGACCCCUACUAACUAUUUUUUUUAAGUUUUUUUUUUAUUCUGCCUUUAUUACUUUACAAGUAACUCAGGUCAGUAAAAAAACAUAAUACUCCUUCUUCCUAUUUUCCUUACAACUCUGUGAAGUGGGCAAGGCUGAGAGAGGAAGACUGAUCUAAAAUCACCCAGCCGGCUUUCAUGCAGAAGAAACUAGAAAUCACAGUCUCCUGUUUUCUAGGCCAGCACCUUAACCACUAUACUCAAACAGGCUAUUUAUUUAAAUACCAAACUUACAUUCAUGUCCUUUACUUUAAUCAACGUAAUUGCGCUUCUCAGAUUCUACUGCCCCCAAAUAUUCCUUAAAUGUUUCUCUAUUUCAGGGGUGGGAGUUUGCAGUCUUCCAGGUUUCUGAAUUUCAGCUCCUAGAAUUCUUUUUUUUUUAAAUUUGCAUUUAUAUCCCGCCCUUCUCCGAAGACUCAGGGCGGCUUACACUAUGUCAAGCAAUAGUCUUCAUCCAUUUGUAUAUUAUAUACAAAGUCAACUUAUUGCCCCCAACAAUCUGGGUCCUCAUUUUACCUACCUUAUAAAGGAUGGAAGGCUGUGUCAACCUUGGGCCUGGUGGGGCUUGAACCUGCAGUAAUUGCAAGCAGCUGCUGUUAAUAACAGACUGUCUUACCAGUCUGAGCCACAGAGGCUCAGACUCUGAGCCACAGAGGCUCUUCAUCACUGGUGGACCUGAUCAGGGUUUUACAGAAUUGUACUUCAUCAGCUCAUGUAGUGCCAUGAGUUUCCAUCACCUGACAGGUUCCAGGGCUACCAGAUAUCCAGUGAGUAUGGCAUAUACAGAAACAACCCUUGAAGAUUUCAGGGGUUUUACCCAAAUUUUACCCACAGAUAAAAUUUCCAGAUGCAAAAGCAAAAUCAGGCAGGAUUGCUUGGAUGAAGAGGAGGAGAAUUAGAUUCCUUUAAUUUAAAAUCUGAAUUUUACUUUUAGCAUUGAAACUACGGAUCAUAAAAGGACAGUAGGGGGGAAAAAUGGAAUUCUGGUUUAAUUCAUUUGUUCUUUCAACCCAUUCUCCCUCUCCUUUCAACAACAGCAUUUCUUGGCAGAAAAUUUGUCUCUUGAAUUAAAAAAAAAAACAACCUAAAAUGAUUUUCAACAUAGCUUACUUUUAGAAUGAAUACAGUGUACAAAAUAUAAUCUGCUGUUUAGAUACCCAUCUUAAAUUUAAUUCAAUGUUUAUUUUAUUACUGUUAACAUAUCCACAGAGACCUUGCUAUUUGCUAUAGAAACAUAAUAAAAAUAAACCUCUGAGUGUGGGCACAUAUCCGCAAAUGUUCAAGAAUGUUGAAGAUACUUAUCUGAAGUCUUCUUACAUUUGCAAGUGCAUUUUGGAAAUGUAGUUCUGUUAACACAUCUUUAAGGGGGGAAAAAUUCUGUGACUGGUUGAACUGCAAACGUUUACCUGAGUCUCUAAUGUCUGUUAGUACCAGCUGUGAAAGCCACCUGCUAAUUUCAUCAAAAUUGUGUAUAUUCCAUACUUACCAAGAAUCUAACAUGUCUCAUUUUUGAACUCGGACCAGAAUGGAUAGACAAGCUGCAUAUGCUUAAAGAUACAGGUAUUUUUUUAAAUAAAAAUUCUAUUUUCAGGAAUGAUAUUAAAUGGGAUGAAAAUGGUACAGUAUGUGAAUAGUAAUUAGAAAGUUAGAAACAGUGAUGAAGGGAAGAGACAAUUUCUUCCUUGGAAAACUGAGGCAUGAGGAACUCUUGGAAUUAUAAUCAAAGACUACCAGUUUAGGAAAGCCCUCUAAAAGAAUUCUUCCAGGUACAAGUAUUUCAAUUCCAUUCCAAUCCAAUCUUUUAUUACAGCUCAAUGACCCAAACAGGUAUGGGAAUGUAAGAAUGAUGGGGUUGAGGAUUGAAAGAUAAACCUUGGAAACAGCAGUAGGAGGGAAGGAUGUUUGUGGUGUGGAAGAAAAGGACUUGGGAUCUACUCCGUGGAUAGAGAAGAAGGUCAGUGUGGGAACACCACAGAAGUAAUUUCAAGAGGAUAAGCUGCAAGCAAUACCAUCAUUAGCUACUGACUCCAAACUCCCAUUUGCUCCCACACAUCGAGGUCACAUACUCCAGGUAACAGCUGGAUGCCAAAAUAACUCAGUGUCAUGAUGUACUUGCUGCCUUCACAUGUCUAAAGAGAUAGACUCCCAGGCCUGAGGGUUCUAAGACAUCACCUCUUUAACAUAAAGGGUUUGAAGUAAUGAGAUAAUUCUGUUUGCUUGCAUUGCAGCAUCUAGGAACCAGGGCAUUGUCUUCUACAGGAAGAAGAUUAGGCAUUUCUUAAAUCGUUUGGAUUUAAUCUUUCACUCUGUUAAAAAGAAGCUUAUGAGAUAUUAGCAUUACAGUCUUCUGCAUUCUCUAUGAGAAGUUAACUCCAUCAGAUCCAAGUGAAUUAUUCUUAACUAUUUUUACACAACACUUAUAAAGUGCAAUCCUCUACAUGUGCUUAGAACCGAAGCAAACCCUUCCAGCUGCAACAGUCACCUUCCUGGGUAAGUGAGAAAAGCAACCUUCUUCAACCUGGUGCUUUCCAGAUAUCUCAGAAUUUGCAUCAAAUCCAACUAGAAAGUCUAGGAACCGUAAAAAUCAUUGCUGAACCGAGGAACAUAAUGAGGGUUGCGAGGCAGAUGCCUCCAUCAGCCCCCUUGUGAACUCCUUUACUGAACAUCUUUAAGCAGAGGCUGGAUAGUUGUGUGGGAACAGCACAUUCAUCAAGUUUAUGUAGGUUAAACAAGUGGGUGGAUUAAUAACUUGCUAAAUCCAUCACCAUUUUAUGAUUUUAUAUUUUAAUACAAAUAAAGAUUUGAAUAUUUAUAUGAUUUUUGCACGAAAAACUGUGACAGUAUUUCAUAACUGACACUGAUAUGCACAUGUUAAAUAUAGUAAUGUUGGUAUCAUCAGUGCUACGUGAUCCUUUGAAUUAUUCCCCAAAUUAUGCAUGGAGAAACUUGGCUUUUCAACUAGAUGUAACCUUAGUAAAAACUGGAGUUGAUUAUUUUCCUAACUUCUAUAUAUUUUGCAAAUUUCCCAUAAUGCAUUAUUGUGUUGCUUCCCUCCCACUUUCUCUCUACUCUAAAGGUAUAAUAUGACUCCAGAAACAAGUUUUCUUAAAAAAAAAACCACACUACUGUUUGUUUAGGCUUAGCUUGCAUACGUGGAUGUGGUAUAAAGUUUACCUUAUAAGAUGUCCUAUAAGGAUCUUGACUUCAUAUUUCACAUUGAUGCAUUGUUGUUAAAAAGCCAUUCUAAGAUCACUAGAAAUUGUACAGUGAAACGACAGCUGCUCCAUUACAGGUAGUCCUCAACUUAGGACCACAAGUGAUUCCAAAAUUUCUGUUGCUGAGUGAGAUAGUUGUGAAGUGAUUUUAUUACCCUUCUUGCCACAAUCGUUAAGUGAGUCACUGCAGUUGUUAAAUUAGUAACACGGCUGUUAAGUGAAUCUGGCUUCCCCAUUGACCUUGCUGGUCAGAAGGUGGUUAAAAGUGAUCAUUAAAAAUGAGCCUGAGACAUUGCAACCGUCGUAAAUAUGAGUCGAUUUCCAAGCAUCUGAAUUUUGAUCUGAAGAUGAAAAUGAAGAUGCUGCAAUAGUCAUAAGUGUGAAAACAGUCGUAAGUCAUUUUUUUUCAGUGCCAUUUUAACUUCAAAAUGUGAAUAAAUGAAUGAUUGUUAAGUCAAGAAGAGGGCCGUGAAAAUAUUUGCAGAUCCCUCGCAUCCUGGACAUAAACUGUUUCAACUCCUACCCUCAAAACGACGCUAUAGAGCACUGCACACCAGAACAACUAGACACAAGAACAGUUUUUUCCCGAAGACCAUCACUCUGCUAAACAAAUAAUUCCCUCAACACUGUCAGACUAUUUACUGAAUCUGCACUACUAUUAAUCGUUUCAUAGUUCCCAUCACCAAUCUCUUUCCACUUAUGACUGUAUGACUAUAACUUGUUGCUGGCAAUCCUUAUGAUUUAUAUUGAUAUAUUGAUCAUCAAUUGUGUUGUAAAUGUUGUACCUUGAUGAACGUAUCUUUUCUUUUAUGUACACUGAGAGCAUAUGC